UACGUAGGGUCCGAGCGUUGUCCGGAAUUACUGGGCGUAAAGAGCUCGUAGGUGGUUUGUCGCGUUGUUCGUGAAAACUCACAGCUCAACUGUGGGCGUGCGGGCGAUACGGGCAGACUUGAGUACUGCAGGGGAGACUGGAAUUCCUGGUGUAGCGGUGGAAUGCGCAGAAUAUCAGGAGGAACACCCGGGUGGCGAAGGC
rnacentral:rRNA from 1 species